rnacentral:snRNA from 1 species
GGGAAAUAUAAUGCUUGAAUGCAAAGUUGGAACCUUCAGAAAAGAUUAACAUGGCCCCUGCUGCGCAAGGAUGAAACCCAUAAAUCGAGAUAUGGACCAAAUUGUU